rnacentral:rRNA from 1 species
CAGGCUUAACACAUGCAAGUCGAGCGGAAACGAAGAAGAGCUUGCUUCUUCGGCGUCGAGCGGCGGACGGGUGAGUAAUGCUUGGGAAUAUGCCUUGAGGUGGGGGACAACAGUUGGAAACGACUGCUAAUACCGCAUAAUGUCUACGGACCAAAGGAGGGGAUCUUCGGACCUUUCGCCUUUAGAUUAGCCCAAGUGAGAUUAGCUAGUUGGUGGGGUAAUGGCCUACCAAGGCGACGAUCUCUAGCUGGUUUGAGAGGAUGAUCAGCCACACUGGGACUGAGACACGGCCCAGACUCCUACGGGAGGCAGCAGUGGGGAAUAUUGCACAAUGGGGGAAACCCUGAUGCAGCCAUGCCGCGUGUGUGAAGAAGGCCUUCGGGUUGUAAAGCACUUUCAGCGAGGAGGAAAGGGUGUAGUUAAUACCGUGCAUCUGUGACGUUACUCGCAGAAGAAGCACCGGCUAACUCCGUGCCAGCAGCCGCGGUAAUACGGAGGGUGCGAGCGUUAAUCGGAAUUACUGGGCGUAAAGCGUGCGUAGGCGGUUAUAUAAGCGAGAUGUGAAAGCCCCGGGCUUAACCUGGGAACUGCAUUUCGAACUGUAUGACUAGAGUAUUGUAGAGGGUGGUGGAAUUUCCAGUGUAGCGGUGAAAUGCGUAGAGAUUGGAAGGAACAUCAGUGGCGAAGGCGGCCACCUGGACAAAUACUGACGCUGAGGCACGAAAGCGUGGGGAGCAAACAGGAUUAGAUACCCUGGUAGUCCACGCCGUAAACGAUGUCAACUAGCUGUCUGUGAACUUGAUUCGUGGGGUAGGCGUAGCUAACGCGCUAAGUUGACCGCCUGGGGAGUACGGCCGCAAGGUUAAAACCUCAAAUUGAAAUUGGGACCGGGGGCCCGCACAGGCCGGGUGGGAGCAGUGGUGGUUUUAAAUUUCGUAUUGCCA